rnacentral:rRNA from 1 species
AAUGAACGCUGGCGGCAGGCCUAACACAUGCAAGUCGAGCGAGCAUUUCGGUGCUAGCGGCGGACGGGUGAGUAACGCGUGGGAACGUGCCCUUUUCUGCGGAAUAGUCCUGGGAAACUGGGGGUAAUACCGCAUACGCCCUUUUGGGGAAAGAUUUAUCGGAGAAGGAUCAGCCCGCGUUGGAUUAGGUAGUUGGUGGGGUAAUGGCCCACCAAGCCGACGAUCCAUAGCUGGUUUGAGAGGAUGAUCAGCCACACUGGGACUGAGACACGGCCCAGACUCCUACGGGAGGCAGCAGUGGGGAAUCUUAGACAAUGGGGGCAACCCUGAUCUAGCCAUGCCGCGUGAGUGAUGAAGGCCUUAGGGUUGUAAAGCUCUUUCAGCUGGGAAGAUAAUGACGGUACCAGCAGAAGAAGCCCCGGCUAACUCCGUG